UUGACUGAACUAAGGGAACAGCUCGCUAUGGAGAUUUUAGAGCCGGCUGAGGACAGGAACUGCCUGAGAGAAUGGUUGAAUCCGAUGGUCGGGACAAGGAAGAAAAUUGAAACAAGGCUCAACAACAUAACUGUUGACUUGCGUGACCUCAUCAAGGCCACCACCUUGGGAGCGGUAUGGAACCUUACUACAAGCAUAGGGCCGACCUCUUCAUCCACAAGGGAAUUAUUCUCUUUGGCCCACCAAUAUUGAUACCUGAGGCCCUGUGGAAACAAACCUUGCAAUGCCUUCAUGUUGCACAUCAAGGCAUUAACAGACACGUUCACGGGCAGAGAGAUCGGUUUGGUGGCCUGGCAUUACUCACAACACACACGUGGUGCAGCACUACUAGCUAGUCACAAAGUGAGGUCAAAAAUUGGAUCAAAACUUGAUCCCUCAAUAAUUGGACACGGCGCCAUUUAGCUCGUUAAGGGUCUGGUGCUAUCUAAAUAGCUAAUAGCUCUAGUAGCUCUAAUAGCCCGCAAAAAAGACAUGACAUUUUCUCUUAGUCACUAACAUCUACCUGUCUAUUGGCAUUAAUAACAACUGUUUUAAUUUCCAGUCUUAACAUACUCCUACAGGAGAUGAUCUCAUCUCUUUACAGGUAGGGGAAAGUGGCUGGGCCAUUGUUACGACGGACACAAGUAUGUUUGUCUGGAUGACUUCGUACCCAAAAGGAAUCAUGCCAACGGCCUCGAUCAAGAUGAGGAUGAAUGCAUAGUUUAUUCGUUUGGCGUUUCAGAUGAUCCGGCCUUUGAAAACGAGAUGACCCACUUUAGUAAAGUUUAAAAGAUCUCCAAGUAACAUUUGUUGUAUCAAGUAGAUGGCCUGUUUUCUGAUUUUCUGUAUCAGGUUGUCAUGUCUAUGCUUAUGAUCAAGAUUGGACGGAAACCAUGCUCCAAAACCUGAGAAUAACACUUGAAAAAGCUAGCAUUUAUGAUGGUUCCGAAGGCUGUGUGACGUUUGGUCAACUUUUGUCUAAGAAUAACCAUAGCACACAGACGAUCAAGUACCUGAAGGUUGAUAUCGAAGGAGGAGAGCGCAAGGGAUUAAUGGAAUGGAUCAAAAGAAAAAUGUAAACACACCCAUGUGUUGGCUUUUUUUGAAUCGGUCACAUGGAUUAAGUCAAGAAGAAGGCCCCAGUAUUGGCGGUUUUGAUGAUGGCGAUGAUAAAGUUGGGCACUGGAUCAUGAGUGCCAAAUACCAAAAUGGAGACAAGCCGAAUAAAGUCCAGCCGAUAGACAACGAUGGGUAACGAUAGAUUUGGAGCAGCAUAAAAUUGGGGCUGCAAAAAUAUGUCAUUUUUUGAAACAGGCAUAUGUCGAAUUGCUAUAAACUCCCCAUUGUU